GCCUAACACAUGCAAGUCGAACGGCAGCACAGGAGAGCUUGCUCUCUGGGUGGCGAGUGGCGGACGGGUGAGGAAUACAUCGGAAUCUACUUUUCGUGGGGGAUAACGUAGGGAAACUUACGCUAAUACCGCAUACGACCUACGGGUGAAAGCAGAGGGAUCUUCAGGACCUUGCGCGAUUGAAUGAGCCGAUGUCGAGAUUAGCUAGUAGGCGGGGUAAAGGCCCACCAAAGGCGACGAUCCNGUAGCUAGGUCUGAGCAGGAUGAUCAUGCCACACUGGAACUGAGACACGGAUCCAGACUCCUACGGGAGGCAGCCAGUGGGGAAUAAUUGGAACAAUGGGCGCAAGGCCUGACUCCAGACCAUACCGCGUAGGGUGAAGAAGGCCUUC
rnacentral:rRNA from 1 species